rnacentral:rRNA from 1 species
GACGAACGCUGGCGGCGUGCUUAACACAUGCAAGUCGACCGGCGUGUCGAACGGGUGUGUAACACGUUGCUGAUCUGCCUUCCUCUUCGGGUUAAUCUUGGGUAACUUGGUCUUAUACCGGAUAGUUCAAGAUGAGCUCGCGGCCUAUCAGCUUGUUGGUGGGGUAAUGGCCUACCAAGGCGUCGACGGGUAGCCGGCCUGGGAGGGUGUACGGACACAAUGGGACUGGGAUACGGCCCAGACUCCUACGGGAGGCAGCAGUGGGGAAUAUUGCACAAUGGGCGGAAGCCUGAUGCAGCGACGCCGCGUGGGGGAUGAAGGCUUUCGAGUUGUAAACUCCUUUCGACAGGGACGCGGUACCUGUAUAAGAAGCACCGGCUAACUACGUGCCAGCAGCCGCGGUAAUAC